GAGCAGAAUGAAAAGAAAUCAUAGAGAUAAAAGAUUUCUAGGAGUGGGGAAGUAGAACCUUAGAGACGAGGGACUUUGGAAGUGUAGCAAGUUUAGGUAUAGAUAUUUGGGGAUCGUUUGUUUGUGGCAAUAGUAGCUAUUAGCCAUGUGUGAGAAUUUGGAAAUUAAGUUUGCCAAUUUUGGCCAUUGAUUUGUACCGAGGCCGGGUUGUUGCAAUAAGUUGCUGAGUUCAUGGAGGAAGAGAGAGAGAGGCUCACAAAGAGAAACACUGUGAGGAGCCGGAGACAAAAUGCACACUUUAAAGGAAAAAGAGCACUUGGAUCUGGUGUUCGCCAUGAAUCCUCUGAUCUUAGCAGCUAGAUACUGUUCUUCUUCCAUUUUAUGCUCCAGAAAAAUGGAGGCUCAGUGGGGGUCAUCACUCGUCUGAAGCGGCAUAGACAAACGGGACUCCCGAGCCCUGCCUUUAACAGUUACUGAGCUGCUGAACCGCCUGUGAAGGAGGAAUUCAAGGCUCAAGGACCGAGGCCAUGCAGUUGGACCAGAGCUAGGAUUCUCGACUUCAAGUCCGGUGCUGUUUCUGCUAUGAGCUGGUACGUGCCAAUUCCUGU